AAAGGACCAGGAGCUCGUGUGCAUGCCCCAGGACACCUCCGUGAUGGCCUAGGUGGGCUCUGCCAGCGUUCUCUCUCAGAAGCAAGCAGAAGCCACAAGGCGUUCAUCGAGGAGGGUAAAGUGAUGCUAAGCAGGCCUGGGAACAGGAGCCUUUGGCACUGCAUUGUGAGGAGGUUGAGGAUGUCACACACGAGCAAGGCAGCUUCCCAGGACGCACGAGAAGGGCACGCAGGUGAAGGAACACCCAGAUGUAGCCAGAAGGCACGCCUGAGGAGCCAACACGGGGCACCAGCUGGAGCCGAAGCAUCAGCAUCAGCCAUUCCCCGUGGAUUGAGGAGCACAGCACAGCCCCUUGGGUCCCUUCGUCUCCAUGCAAAGUAGUGCCAGCGGGCCCAUUGCUGCUUCAUUUGCCAUUUGCCUGGCCAAGCAAUCAGCAGAAAGGGCUCAGAGCUCUUCAUCAUCAUCAGGACUGAUGGGCAGAGAGGGCCAGGGAAGAGCUUGAAAGCCAUCCGUGGUCAGGAGCUGGGGGUUGUGCAGCUCUGCUGAGUGACUGCGUGGUUUUGCUCAUCAGCAAGUCGUUACGCUUAAUAGAUGGGAAGGCAGAAGAGCAUCUCUCAGGGACCUGAAAGAAAACGAACGUUUUACGGCAUGAAAAACGCAGCAGCCGUGUGGUGGCCCCCUGCUUUCCCAGGGUGUCGGCCUCCAGCACUGCGUCUCAGGACCAGCAGAGGAGGGCAGGAUGGGACCCACACCCUGAGGCAAAUUUGUCACUCUCCUUUGGCAGCCACCGUUUAACCUCUGUGGUGUGCAGGUGGCAGAUGGGUGCCCCGGACACAGCUGUCACAAGCUGUGUGCUCGCUGUGUUGGUGACGUGAAGGCAGCAGCAGCUCCCCAUCCAUCCCUUCACCCUCUCGCUGUGAUGAUGGUCCUGCAGAGAGAGGCUGCAAACACAGCAGGAGGAGCUGAGAGCGCACAGAGGGUGAGGGAUGGCUGCGUUUGCCUUUCUCCGGCUUAGCAGGAAUGCUUUCUGCCCGUCUCUGUCCGUUUUCGUCUCAGCAUCAGAAAGCACUUGUGCAGCUUGCAGAUCUGCCCUCCUUUUGUGGAGGCUGUAACUGUUUCUGCCACGACAACGCAGCAUUUCACAAACGUGUCCCAGAUGAAUUUGUCACCUUCGUGUGAUUCGAAAUGAAGAUAAAGACAGGCAAAGGUGAUGGCAAAGCUCUCCUUUAGCAUCCUCUCUGACACGCAGACAGACCUGCUCCUCUGCAGGGAUAUCUGUCUGGAAAGAGGGGCAGGUAUGGGUGGCAUCACCAAUAAACCCCCGUGU
rnacentral:lncRNA from 7 species